rnacentral:rRNA from 1 species
GUCCAGACUCCUACGGGAGGCAGCAGUGAGGAAUAUUGGUCAAUGGCCGAGAGGCCGAACCAGCCAAGUCGCGUGAGGGAAGACGGCCCUACGGGUUGUAAACCUCUUUUGUCGGGGAGCAAAGCGAACCACGUGUGGUUCAUUGAGAGUACCCGAAGAAAAAGCAUCGGCUAACUCCGUGCCAGCAGCCGCGGUAAUACGUAGGGGGCAAGCGUUAUCCGGAUUUACUGGGUGUAAAGGGGGCGCAGACGGCGAUGCAAGCCAGGAGUGAAAGCCCGGGGCCCAACCCCGGGACUGCUCUUGGAACUGCGUGGCUGGAGUGCAGGAGGGGCAGGCGGAAUUCCUGGUGUAGCGGUGAAAUGCGUAGAUAUCAGGAGGAACACCGGUGGCGAAGGCGGCCUGCUGGACUGCAACUGACGUUGAGGCCCGAAAGCGUGGGGAGCAAACAGGAUUAGAUACCCCGGUA